CACACGCACACACACACAACACAGAGACACGUGCCUGUUUGUUUCCAUUUGUGUUUCUGGAUUUUUAGCAGGUUUCCUGUGUCAAAGCAAAGACCCACAGGUGGAGGACGGGGGAAGGGCAACUGCUGCCUGGGCAGAGAAGGAAACGGCUCCCUGGAGUGCGGUCUUGGGAGAAACAAACACACACACACACACACACACACACACACACACACACACACACACACACACACGGCCAUCACGACCCUCAAAUCCCUAAGGCAACGACUGGGGACCUCAGGCCAUCUCUCAACUUCUCCCCCUUCCGUGGCAUUCAGAGUAUUCUGAGCAGUGGAGUCCAAAGGUAUCACCAGAUUGCCAAAGGAGCUUUUCUUGGCUCACCAAAUUAAAUGAUCUACAACAUGAAGGACAAAUCAUCUUCAAAAGAUGGGGAGGCAGUCUAUGAAUGUGGAACACCAGAGAAACUAGAAACAAGAACAAACCAGAGCUUGUUCCUGUGACAGUAGACAAAGUCUUUUUGGAUGACCUUGGUCCAAGAAGUAUUUUCUGACCUGAUGGCACUCCAGAGAACUUUGGAUGGAACGUGUAACAAAGUUAUUGGAAGAUAAGCUCUUUGCAAAUGUUGUAAUCUACCUUCAGAUGGGAAACAAAUAUGGUGAAAAGAGAACUGAAGUUGAAAAUAAAAGAAGAGAUUACAUAAGAUAUACGAAUUAUAUCCCAUUAAUCUAGAUUUGAUCACUGACCUAUGAUAUCUGUGGGGAAUUUGGGAGAGUGUUAAGUGCAAGAAGACCAGAAGCUCACAAAUAUUAUCUUAAUUUGCAAAAAGGGGAACAAUGUGGAUUCUGUGUACUGCAGAGCAAUGAACUUCAACCAGAUCCCUGGCAAAGCUCAGGAGUGGAUUAUUUAACGAAAAGUUUAUGACCACUUAGAAAAGGAAAUCUGACAGUCAUGAACUAAUUUAUGUUUACUAAAAACAAGGCAUUCUUGAAUAACCUUGUUGACAGAGAUUAUGAGAGGAUUGUAGAAAAAAAAGACAUCACUCUUUAUUACAUAACUGCCUGUACUUUUCCUUAACCUUCAUGGAUAUUCCUGUCUUGCCUCACCAUACAGAUUGUCAGCUUCUUGAGGGCAGUGAUAUUUUUUCACCCAUCAUCAUCAUCAUCAUCAUCAUCAUCAUCAUCAUCAUCAUCGUCAUCAUCAUUGUUGUUGUUGUUAUUGUAAUAUGGGCUGGUGAACAUGUACAAUGUGCAUAGUUGAUGGAUUCUCUUUUUGGAAAGGGCUGACGAAUCUGCUUCCAGAAAUGUUCAGUUGUUUCAGUCAUGUCCAAUUCUUUGUGACCAUGUUUGGAGUUUUCUUGACAAUGA